AUAGAUGGAAAGCCGCGAUUGCUUGCAACGCGCCAGACGACAGACUAGCCCCAAGGGGCAUCGCUCGUCUCAUCUCGCAAGCGGGCCAAGGUCUGAGUAUUCCAGUCCCCCUAGAUCGACUCCAGCUGGGUCCGGCCUUAACAGGGGCACGAACGGCGUACCAGAAAUACUGCCUGCGUCGUCCUUUCUACACCCGGAGAUCUCUGUACCAGAGUGAGGGUUCGACCGCGCAUGGCAUUGGGAUCCGCCGUGGGGACUGAGUGGCUGGUAUUCAGAGGCUUAUUGCCCCUUUCGUUCUUCGAUCGUUUGGGAUGCACAUGCCCCCACCGUCACUCUUCAGUGCACUUCGCGGCUCGCGCUAUCCACUCUCUCGCUCCCAUGCAGAGAGGCGCAAAACUCGAUUCAGACUACUCUCCGUCUGC
rnacentral:RNase_P_RNA from 2 species